UCCAGGUGGGCGCUUGAUGUUGACUUGAAACUUGAAAUGGAUUCCCUUGUUUUCCAGGUGGGCGCUUGUUGCUAACUUAAAACUUGAAAUGAAUUCCCUCGUUCUCCAGGUGGGCGCCUGAUGCUAACUUAAAACUUGAAAUGAAUUCCCUCGUUCUCCAGGUGGGUUCUCUAGGUGGGCGCCUGAUGCUAACUUAAAACUUGAAAUAAAUUCCCUCGUUCUCCAGGUGGGCGCCUGCUGACUUAAAACUGAAAUUAAUUCCCUCGUUCUCCAGGUGGGCGACUGAUGAGUUAAAACUUGAAAUUAAUUCCCUCGUUCUCCAGGUGGGCGCCUGCUACUACAAAAAAAAUAGACAAAACAAAAAAAACCUUUCUACCCCAGUUUACACUAGGAAGAUUUGUGAGUUAUUAGCAGAACUAUAAAUUACCUAUGCUAUUGAUAAAAGAUGCAAUGAUGAGAGUAAAAUUAAAGACUCGACUAGGAUGUGCGUCUCCUAAAGAAAUAAAAAUGUGAAAAACCCAAACUAGGAAGUGCGUCUCCUAAAUUUGAGAUUGAGCUUGCGAAAAACUAUAAACUAAGCUUGACUAAACUAAAAACUGACCCUAUUCUCCAGGCGGGACCCCUGAUUUCAAGAAAACUAAAUAUUGAUAACUUAAGAAAACUAAAAAU
rnacentral:lncRNA from 1 species